rnacentral:rRNA from 1 species
UACGGGGGGAGCAAGCGUUGUUCGGAUUUACUGGGCGUAAAGGGCGCGUAGGCGGUCAGCACAAGUCAGUUGUGAAAUCUCCGGGCUUAACUCGGAAAGGUCAACUGAUACUGUGCGACUAGAGUGCGGAAGGGGCAACUGGAAUUCUCGGUGUAGCGGUGAAAUGCGUAGAUAUCGAGAGGAACACCUGCGGCGAAGGCGGGUUGCUGGGCCGACACUGACGCUGACGUGCGACGAGCCAGGGGAGCGAACGGG